rnacentral:rRNA from 1 species
CUAAAAGCUAGCUCACGUUCCGGCAGUCGAGACUGAGAGGUCGAUCGACCACAUUGGGUCUGAAAAAACCCACGGCAGAUAGUACAGCAGUGGGGUAUAUUGGUCAAUAGCCUAACGGCUGAACCAGCAACUUGGAAGAAUGUAUAACGAAUAAGUCGUAUAAAAUUCUAGGUAGAAGAAAUAUGAUGACAAAUUUCUAUCUAUAAGUCUUGACCAAAUUACGUGCCAGCAGUCGCGGUAACACGUAGAAGACUAGUGUUAUUCAUCUUUAUUAGGUUUAAAGGGUACCUAGACGGGAAAUCAAGCCGUAAAAGGGACUAAUUUUCUAGAGUUUUAUGAGAGAAGGGGCGAAUUUUCGGAGGAAAGUCGAUAUUUUGUGAUACCGAAAGGACGGGUAACAGCGAAGGCAACCUUCUAUGUAGAAACUGACGUUGAGGGACGAAGCCUUGGGUAACGAGAAGGAUUAGAUACCCUAGUAGUCCUUGGAGACAAUUAUGAAUGCCAUAGGUUAGUAAAAUUAAUUUAUAAAUGAAAGUGCAAGCAUUCCACCUCAUGACUAAAGCGGCAACGCCCAAAUUGAAAUCAUUAGACCGUUUCUGAAACCAGUAGUGAAGUAUGUUAUUUAAUUCGAUGAUCCGCGAAUAACCUUACCACGCAUUGAAUAUUAUUCAAUUAUUACAAGUGCUGCACGGCUGUCUUCAGUUAAUGUCGUGAGAUUUUGGUUCGUUCCAUAAAUUAACGAAAACCCUUGCUUUAUUUGUUUUUAUAAAGUAGUUCUCUGUUAUAUUAGAUAAGUAAAAGGACUAGCCA